GGCGAGGCCCAGAGGGCGCGGGAGCGGCUCCAGUCGCGUAUUCCAGGAGCCUCGGAAGGAGUCCAGCCGCAGGCGAGCGCCGGGCGGCGAAGGCUCAGGGCGCGCGAUUUUUGAGGGACCGCGCUAGGACGCUUGAGGCGCGCGUGCGCAGAGCAGCUCGGGGCUCACGGGGCUUGCCCGAACGCGCCUGCGCGAGAGCGUCCCGGGGGCGCGGGCGCGAGGAGGCCGGGGGCCGCGCGUGCGCAGCACGGCUCGGGGCGCGCUGGGGAGGCCCGGAGCGCGUGUGCGCGCGCGCCUCUUCCCCGCCCCCACUCGGCCGAGACGGCGGCACAAUGGCGGCGCCCUUGCCCCCGCUGCGUCCCGUCACCCACCUGCUUUUUGACCUGGACGGCCUCCUUCUGGAUACCGAACGGCUGUACUCAGUGGUGUUUGAGGCAGUCUGCGGUCGCUAUGGGAAGAAAUACAGCUGGGAUGUGAAGUCCCUUGUUAUGGGUAAGACGGCGUUGGAGGCGGCCCAGAUCAUCGUAGACACCCUGCAGCUCCCGACGUCCAAGGAGGAGCUGGUGGAAGCCAGCCAGGCGAAGCUGAAGGAGGUGUUCCCCACCGCCGCGCUCAUGCCAGGUGUGGAGAAGCUGAUCCACCACCUGCGGAAGCACGGCGUGCCCUGUGCCGUGGCCACCAGCUCAGGGACCGCAUCCUUCCAGAUGAAGACCAGCAGACACGAGGGCUUCUUCAGCUUGUUCCAUCACGUCGUCCUCGGCGAUGACCCCGAAGUGAGGAGUGGGAAGCCGGAGCCAGACAUCUUCCUGGCGUGCGCCCGCAGGUUUUCUCCCGCCGCUCCCGUGGAGCAGCAAGAACUUUAUACGAUAUUGCCCACUGAAGAUGGAAUUCAGCAUGAAGGCCAUCUUGGGCUCCAUCAAAGAGAUCACUGAGGGCUUCCCUGGUGGCACAGUGGUUGAGAGUCCGCCUGCCGAUGCAGGGGACACGGGUUCGUGUCCCGGUCCGGGAAGAUUCCACAUGCUGUGGAGCGGCUGGGCCCGUGAGCCAUGGCCGCUAGGCCUGCGCGUGCGGAGCCUGUGCUCCGCAACGGGAGAGGUCACAUCAGUGAGAGGCUCACGUACCGCCAAAAAAAAAAAAAAAAAAAACAGAUCACUGAAAAGCCAAAGGGCCUCUAGGAUGUCACACCUCAUGAUGUACAGAGGGCGCAGUGCACUCUACAGAAUUGGGCUUGAAAAGUAAAGAAGGCGGACAGAGUUUCCUCUCUUACUGGAAUCUUCUGGAAACCAUAGCCAUGAGGUAUUCCCGAAUGCCUCACAUCCUUUAAGCAAUGUUUAAUGGCCACCUGUUGCAUGAGAGCUCAUCAGGGGAAAGGACCAUUUCACGACAGCCUAAGACCCUGGCCCUAAACUUCGGUGUCCAGGCUAGUGGGGCUGGGCCAUGUGGAGAAUUUGUUUUGCCAGGACAGGAGGUCUUGAGAGCCUGGAAUCCAAGAAUUUCCAGGAGGUCCUUCACCAUAUUCCUGCCAAGUCCGUGGCCACCGCACCACAAAAUGGCAGAGCCCAGGUUCAUAUUCUCGGUACGGAUCCCAUGCCUUUUUCAUUGUGCUGACUCUCUGCCAUGGUGGGGCUUUUUGUGGCCUGGGAGGGUAAGGGCCGCAGCGUUCUAGCCGCAGGUGAUGGAGAGACUGCCUGCCUUUGGUUCCUCGAAUCACUGACCUGGGAGCCUCAUCACGUGGGGCCCCAAGCAGAGGCCCCGGGUGGCCACCUCUGGGAUGUCCUAGCUUAGGUGCUGCUGAGAGUUUGUCAAUACUUGUAUCUCCCCUCUGCCUUAAUGAUCAAUGUGUCCAAAGUCACAAACUCAAACCACAGCACAUGGAAAUAAUGACUUAUCCUAUGACUGCCAUAAAUGCACUCCAGUGUCUCAAAUGUAUUUCAUCGAUCAUUCUUUAAGGUACAAAAGACGUGUGUCAACAUAGAAACAGUCUCUAUUCUGGGGAGGAAACUCCAUGAAUGUGUGUACUAUUGACUCUCAGUCAAAGAUGCCAUUUUCCUCUUUGCGGGCCAUCGACGUUUUGCACCAAGCCCUCUCUUCUUAGAUAAUUGCACUUUACACUUUGGCAUCUAUGUUCUGAAGGCUUGAUGCUGAAGUUUCUACUGCCCUUCCACGAGGAGGACAGCCUGUGGUCCCCACAGUGAGAUCUGCUUCUUUCUGCUCAUUCGUGGAGUGACGUGGAGAGCAGGGAGCUGAUUUGCAGAAGGACCGCUUGGUAGACAGGCUAUUCAGGAUUCUGACGACAUGUUGGUGGAUUCAUGCAUGGGUACUCGAGCACCCACCACAUCAUUUCUGAGCUCUGUCUACUGAGAGGAAGUCAUAUAAACCAGGAUUUCCAUCCAUGGGAAGAGCUCAUACCCGAAGAAGUACUCAGCACAGGGUAUGAUUUGUGCAGUUUUCUUCGGUACGUCAUACAUCAACCAAAAGUUUAUUGACUUUUUGAUGCCACUUGAUCCAAGACACCCACAUCCUGGACUGAAGGAUUGGAUUUGAAUGAAACUCAUUUUCAUCGCAAGACAAAG